rnacentral:rRNA from 1 species
GGUGACUGCGUACCUUUUGUAUAAUGGGUCAGCGACUUAUAUUCUGUAGCAAGGUUAACCGAAUAGGGGAGCCGCAGGGAAACCGAGUCUUAACUGGGCGUUAAGUUGCAGGGUAUAGACCCGAAACCCGGUGAUCUAGCCAUGGGCAGGUUGAAGGUUGGGUAACACUAACUGGAGGACCGAACCGACUAAUGUUGAAAAAUUAGCGGAUGACUUGUGGCUGGGGGUGAAAGGCCAAUCAAACCGGGAGAUAGCUGGUUCUCCCCGAAAGCUAUUUAGGUAGCGCCUCGUGAACUCAUCUUCGGGGGUAGAGCACUGUUUCGGCUAGGGGGUCAUCCCGACUUACCAACCCGAUGCAAACUACGAAUACCGAAGAAUGUUAUCACGGGAGACACACGGCGGGUGCUAACGUCCGUCGUGAAGAGGGAAACAACCCAGACCGCCAGCUAAGGUCCCAAAGUCAUGGUUAAGUGGGAAACGAUGUGGGAAGGCCCAGACAGCCAGGAUGUUGGCUUAGAAGCAGCCAUCAUUUAAAGAAAGCGUAAUAGCUCACUGGUCGAGUCGGCCUGCGCGGAAGAUGUAACGGGGCUAAACCAUGCACCGAAGCUGCGGCAGCGACACUAUGUGUUGUUGGGUAGGGGAGCGUUCUGUAAGCCGUUGAAGGUGGCCUGUGAGGGUUGCUGGAGGUAUCAGAAGUGCGAAUGCUGACAUAAGUAACGAUAAUGCGGGUGAAAAACCCGCACGCCGGAAGACCAAGGGUUCCUGUCCAACGUUAAUCGGGGCAGGGUGAGUCGACCCCUAAGGCGAGGCCGAAAGGCGUAGUCGAUGGGAAACAGGUUAAUAUUCCUGUACUUGGUGUUACUGCGAAGGGGGGACGGAGAAGGCUAUGUUGGCCGGGCGACGGUUGUCCCGGUUUAAGCAUGUAGGCGGAUGUUCCAGGUAAAUCCGGAACGUUAUUAACGCUGAGGUGUGAUGACGAGGCACUACGGUGCUGAAGUGACAAAUGCCCUGCUUCCAGGAAAAGCCUCUAAGCAUCAGGUAACAUCAAAUCGUACCCCAAACCGACACAGGUGGUCAGGUAGAGAAUACCAAGGCGCUUGAGAGAACUCGGGUGAAGGAACUAGGCAAAAUGGUGCCGUAACUUCGGGAGAAGGCACGCUGAUGGUAAGUGAAGUGACUUGCUCAUGGAGCUGAAAUCAGUCGAAGAUACCAGCUGGCUGCAACUGUUUAUUAAAAACACAGCACUGUGCAAACACGAAAGUGGACGUAUACGGUGUGACGCCUGCCCGGUGCCGGAAGGUUAAUUGAUGGGGUUAUCCUCGCGGAGAAGCUCUUGAUCGAAGCCCCGGUAAACGGCGGCCGUAACUAUAACGGUCCUAAGGUAGCGAAAUUCCUUGUCGGGUAAGUUCCGACCUGCACGAAUGGCGUAAUGAUGGCCAGGCUGUCUCCACCCGAGACUCAGUGAAAUUGAACUCGCUGUGAAGAUGCAGUGUACCCGCGGCAAGACGGAAAGACCCCGUGAACCUUUACUAUAGCUUGACACUGAACACUGGUCCUUGAUGUGUAGGAUAGGUGGGAGGCUUUGAAGUGUGGACGCCAGUCUGCAUGGAGCCGUCCUUGAAAUACCACCCUUUAAUGGCUGGUGUUCUAACGUGGGCCCGUGAUCCGGGUUGCGGACAGUGUCUGGUGGGUAGUUUGACUGGGGCGGUCUCCUCCUAAAGAGUAACGGAGGAGCACGAAGGUCAGCUAAUCCUGGUCGGACAUCAGGAGGUUAGUGCAAUGGCAUAAGCUGGCUUGACUGCGAGCGUGACGGCGCGAGCAGGUGCGAAAGCAGGUCAUAGUGAUCCGGUGGUUCUGAAUGGAAGGGCCAUCGCUCAACGGAUAAAAGGUACUCCGGGGAUAACAGGCUGAUACCGCCCAAGAGUUCAUAUCGACGGCGGUGUUUGGCACCUCGAUGUCGGCUCAUCACAUCCUGGGGCUGAAGUAGGUCCCAAGGGUAUGGCUGUUCGCCAUUUAAAGUGGUACGCGAGCUGGGUUUAGAACGUCGUGAGACAGUUCGGUCCCUAUCUGCCGUGGGCGCUGGAGAAUUGAGGGGGGCUGCUCCUAGUACGAGAGGACCGGAGUGGACGCAUCACUGGUGUUCGGGUUGUCAUGCCAAUGGCAUUGCCCGGUAGCUAAAUGCGGAAGAGAUAAGUGCUGAAAGCAUCUAAGCACGAAACUUGCCCCGAGAUGAGUUCUCCCUGACUCCUUGA